AACGAACGCUGGCGGCAUGCCUAACACAUGCAAGUCGAACGAGAUCUUCGGGUCUAGUGGCGCACGGGUGCGUAACGCGUGGGAAUCUGCCCUUUGGUUCGGAAUAACAGUUGGAAACGACUGCUAAUACCGGAUGAUGACGAAAGUCCAAAGAUUUAUCGCCAGAGGAUGAGCCCGCGUAGGAUUAGCUAGUUGGUGUGGUAAAGGCGCACCAAGGCGACGACCCUUAGCUGGUCUGAGAGGAUGAUCAGCCACACUGGGACUGAGACACGGCCCAGACUCCUACGGGAGGCAGCAGUGGGGAAUAUUGGACAAUGGGCGAAAGCCUGAUCCAGCAAUGCCGCGUGAGUGAUGAAGGCCUUAGGGUUGUAAAGCUCUCUUACCCGGGAUGAUAAUGACAGUACCGGGAGAAUAAGCUCCGGCUAACUCCGUGCCAGCAGCCGCCGUAACAC
rnacentral:rRNA from 1 species